rnacentral:rRNA from 1 species
UACGUAGGGUGCAAGCGUUGUCCGGAAUUAUUGGGCGUAAAGAGCUCGUAGGCGGUUUGUCGCGUCUGCUGUGAAAACGCGAGGCUCAACCUCGCGCCUGCAGUGGGUACGGGCAGACUAGAGUGCGGUAGGGGAGAUUGGAAUUCCUGGUGUAGCGGUGGAAUGCGCAGAUAUCAGGAGGAACACCGAUGGCGGAGGCAGAUCUCUGGGCCGUAACUGACGCUGAGGAGCGAAAGCGUGGGGAGCGAACAGG